UCAGACCCCUUUGAUAGUGACAGCGACCCAGAUGACCCUGAGCCUUUCCAUGGUUUUGAUGCCUCGCCCUAUUCAUCAGAUCUAGAUGUUCCCUCAUCAGUUGAUACGAGUAGUAUCACCUCUCCAGAGCCCAAAUCAGUUGAUACGAGUAGUAUCACCUCUCCCAUUCCUUCAGACUCCCAAGCACCUGCCCAUCCUACUCCAUAGCCCAGCCACCCACUCAUCUACCAUAUGCCCAUCCCAGUAAGCAAGCCAACCACUAGAAUUUGACUGGCAUGCACCUGUGACUUACAUAAACCAGACCUCUACAUAGCCUACAUGUCUUCAUUUUGCUGAAGACUGCCCAUCAUCCUAGCCUGUUAUCUGUGAUAAAGCACACUGAAGUUAGGUUUGGAAUGCAUCCUUAUCAUGAAUGCUCUACACCUCCACCUCCAUCUCCCACAACCUAGGUAACAGCUUUG